AGCCUCGCAGAGGUCCAGGUGUGUUGAGAGACUUGUAGACAGUAAGGUCUGGAACAGCCAGAGGCCGCACCCACAGCAUCUCAGUGAGCUGUUUGUUGCUUGGUUUUUUAGCUUUAACUAUGACAAGAGGUUCCUGGAACCUGGGGAUUCUCGUGGUGAGGGUGUGUUCAGUGGGGACAUCCAGGAGCCAGUGAGAAAGGUCAGUUGCAAACACAAAGGGGAACUUCCAGGAUCCAGAGGACAGGAGAAACAGUGCCAGGGAGAACAGGGUGGGUUAGGGACAGGUGGACAAGAGAGCAACACUGAAGAGAGACAAGGCUUCCUCCAGGAGCAGGGGUGGAGGGAUUGGGAUCUGGAGCAACUUGAAAGCUUCUGCUGCCUCCGUUUCCUGUGGAGAUGCUGUCAUGGGGAUAAAGAUGUCACAGACAGAAGUUGAGGUGUAGCUCGGUGAAGCUUGCCGUGCAAGCGGGGACCUAAGCUUGAUCCCCAGAACCUGUGUAGCAAAGCUGGACGUUCUACACA
rnacentral:lncRNA from 1 species